rnacentral:lncRNA from 10 species
UCUUGGUGUCUCCUCUCUCUCUCCCUCUCCCUGUCUGUCUCUCAGCAUCUCUCUCUGUCUCUGUCUCCUGUGUCUCACUGUGUCUUUCUCUGUGUCUCCAUGUCUCUGUUUCUCUCUUGUUCUAUUCUCAAUUUUUUUGUUUGUUUUUUACCUGGACUUACUCCCUCCCCUCUGUUUCUCUUUCUCUGUCUCUCUCUUUCUCUUUGUCUCUGUCUCUCUCUUUCUCUCUGUCUCUGUCUCUCUCUUUCUCUCUGUCUCUGUCUCUCUCUUUCUCUCUGUCUCUGUCUCUCUCUUUCUCUCUGUCUCUGUCUCUCUUUCUUUUUGUCUCUCUGGCUCUGCCUCUCUCCCUCUCCCCUCGCCCCCGCUGAGCGCUGUCUGACGGGAACCCCCAGCAGUCUCCCUCGCUCUCCUGGCAGCCUGCAGACUCCUCUGGUCUCACUGACUGCAGAGUCACUGGCUGUUUCUGGUCUUUGCUGACGCUGACGUUUUUUAAGAGUCUAUGGUUUCCUCCAUCUGGACUUGCCUGACUCAGGAUCGGGCUCUGCUUAGACAGUGUUUUGGCAGCCCCCUGCCUUCGGCUCAGGAGGAGGCUGGGUCCCCAGGUUUUGCCACGCUAAAGGCAUGCUUUCCUGGCAUAGUUAACAGGCCAGUUCUGAGGUGAUCCUCUGAGUCUCGAGGGUGUCCAGUUUCUCAGUGCCCUUCCACCAAGGUGGGGUCUUCAUGGCGGGCGCUUGCCCACAUCAGUGGCUACCCCGUGGCUGUGGAGUGGGGUCCUUCUAAACGGGAGCUUAACCCCCAGCCCUGCUGAGAUGGCUCCAUGACAGUGAUGGUGGGGCCGAGGUCUGCCGUC